rnacentral:antisense_RNA from 15 species
AGUAACCAAAAACAACACCGAAGUUUGUAGUUGGGUUAGUAAUAAUUCUAACGUCACCACCACCCGGAGCCCAAGUGUCAUAAAUACCACCAAAGUACAUAGCUUUUAAAACUAAUAACCAAGCACCACAACCUAACAUGAUUAAGUGGUAACCUAAAAUUGAUGUCAUUUUAUUUUUGUCUUUCCA